rnacentral:lncRNA from 1 species
AAAAAUUUAAUUUCAAGUUAUUUGUAAAAUUAUAAAAUUUUAAGUUUACUAUCAUUAAAAAAUAAAACGUGCUUAUUGCGAGCUUUUUUAUCGUGCCGUUCUUAGUCCAUCUUUAAUCGUGCCGUGCUUUUAAGAUCCGCGUGCCAAAAAUUCUAAGCUCGGCACGGCCCACGUGCUUGCUGUGCCGUGCCGCGUACUCCACCGAAACAUGCUCAUAUUGUUCCGUGCUAUACGUUCCUGUGUCGUGCUCGUGCCAUGCCACGUGCCAUUUGGCUCAUUUCCCAUCUCAAGUGGCUGGCUAAAUAUCACAUUCAUCUAGAGAACUGUGAGUGACAACAAUGAAAGGUCAAUUUGAAGUAACAAAACCUGAAAUCGAAAUUGAUAUAAAUGCGUCAAUUAAUAUUUGACAAAAUUGAAAUCGAUGGGGCAUAAUUUUAUGCCCCACUUGCUCACAAACGUAUGAAUUAGGCAAUUAAGAUAUGCUAUUGAAAAUGACAAUGGAUUUAUAACAAUAGUAUCCAAUGCUAAAACUGUAACGAGUUAGAACUACUUACUCGGGAAGGGGGGCAGGUGGGGGGAGGGGGUUGAAACAAAUUAAUUUAAGCUAGCAUUUGAAAUCACACCGAUUAGAUACACAUGCAUCGAAUUGAAAAGCUAUCUACAACCGAAGUACCCGACCAUACUCCAACACGACCCAAGUCUUUGUUUCACGAAAGACAUGCAUGAAUAUAUGGCCAACAAUUAAGCUUUGAUCAAAUUACAAUUAGUCUGCAUGCUCACGCUCAAUUAGUUGUUAUAUUUUAAUUUAAGUAUUUAUU